rnacentral:lncRNA from 1 species
CAACCUUUGAACUUCAAUACGAUGACAAAAAUAUAACUGUGAACUUGGAUGUUAAUACCCAUUUUGAACUGUAUGGUAUGUUUGAACUCAUGGCAGAAGUAAAACAUUCAAUACCUAUUCUCAAGCAUCUUGGACUUCCCUUCUUCAUUAAGAUGACAUUCCUUGAAAUCCUGACUGAAAAUGAAAUUGAAGGGUCUCUGACAGUGACCUGUGGGCCAAAUGCAAGCCUCUCAUUCACCGUCAAUAAGAAAAAUGAGCAGCAAAGUGAAGAACUGAAUAUAAAAGCUUUACAGAACUUUUUUCUUCAAUACUUGCCCAGCACAGUUGAACUUUCCUCAAAGGUACAUUAUUAUAUGAAGGAGGCAGAAGGUAGACUCUCUAUCAGGAUGGAAAAGAAGGAUUUCCAUGUUACAACUAAGUUAUCUUUCACUGGGACAACCUAUGCGAAUGUCAUUGAAAUGAUGCACACACUGCCCCAGUUAAAAAUCCUUCCAAAGCAGCUUGUGUUCAUGACUGGUUAUCAAAAAGAUAACAGAACUCAUAUAUUGCGGCACAUCACUCUGUGGAAUGGCAAGGAAGUCAAGGUGACAGGCACUUACACUGGACUCUUCCCAAAGUUAUCUGGAGAUCAUGAUAUUAAAUGUAAGUUUCUAACCUCUCUAGUAAGUCCUGCUAGCAGAAAUAAAGGAAUGUAAAAGCCACAAAGCUAAUUACUUAAAUGUCUUAAUGCCAUUUUGUGUCCAGGCCUAUGAACCUCACUUAGUCACAUUUCUAAGUGGAUACAAAGAGCGAGGACUUCUGGAGUGGGCCUUUGGUUUCUGCCCUCUGGGAAGAGAAUGUAAUGCUAGCCAGGUUAC